rnacentral:rRNA from 1 species
UACGUAGGGGGCAAGCGUUGUCCAGAUUUAUUGGGCGUAAAGAGCGUGUAGGCGGCUAGGUAGGUCCGUUGUGAAAACUCGAGGCUCAACCUCGAGACGCCGAUGGAAACCAUCUGGCUAGAGUCCGGAAGAGGAGAGUGGAAUUCCUGGUGUAGCGGUGAAAUGCGCAGAUAUCAGGAAGAACACCCGUGGCUAAGGCGGCUCUCUAGUACGGUACUGACGCUGAGACGCGAAAGCGUGGGGAGCGAACAGG